rnacentral:rRNA from 1 species
UAGUGAGUUUGAUCCUGGCUCAGAUUGAACGCUGGCGGUCUGCUUAACACAUGCAAGUCGAACGAAUCUUUCGGGAUUGAGUGGCGGACGGGUGAGUAACGCGUGAGGAUCUGCCCAUAGGUUCGGGACAACAGUUGGAAACGACUGCUAAUACCGGAUGUGCCGAGAGGUGAAAGCUUUAGUGCCUAUGGAGGAGCUCGCGUCUGAUUAGCUAGUAGGAGUGGUAACGGCACCCUAGGCGACGAUCAGUAGCUGGUCUGAGAGGAUGAUCAGCCACACUGGGACUGAGACACGGCCCAGACUCCUACGGGAGCAGCAGUGGGGAAUUUCCGCAAUGGGCGCAAGCCUGACGGAGCAAGACCGCGUGAGGGAAGAAGGUCUGUGGAUUGUAAACCUCUUUGAUAGGGAAGAGAAAGUGACGGUACCUAUCGAAUCAGCCUCGGCUAACUCCGUGCCAGCAG